rnacentral:rRNA from 1 species
CCUGACCUCGGAUUAGGCGUGAUUACCCGCUGAACUUAAGCAUAUCAAUAAGCGGA